AGGUGAAGAAGUAAACUGAUCCAAAUAAACAAUGGGACAAUGAAUGUUAUAAAUACCAAGAAGAAGACUGCACUUUUAAACAGUUGAAGUAUGAUAUGAUGAAUAAAUACCCUAAAUGCAGCCUUAUGGAGCUUUGGCUAGACCAUGAACAGUAGACAUCAAAAAGAUGCUCAUCUAAAGGGGCGCAAGUGUUCGAAGCAUUGAUAAAAAAAAACUGAACCAUUUGAUGGAUCAUACAGAAUGUACAAUCAGAUUUCCAGAAUCAGAGAAAUAGAAGUAUCAAAUGUUAGGGAGAUAGGAAAAUAUGCAUCUUGCAUGAAGAACCUGCCUUAGAUUAAUUUGCAAAAUACAUUGAAAUCUCACAAUUGCUAAUGGAAGUUAAGAAUGGAGUACUCUUCUGGAAAAUAUGUGUCCAGACAAUACUGUAACAACAUUGUUUCAUUUUUAUCAAUUUUCUGAGCAUAAUUCUACAUAAUAAUUAUACAUAAAAAUUGUAACAUGGUUACAUGAAUAAUACAAAACGUGUAAUCAUAGAUCUAUUUCCAGACAAAAAUUGGGAGAAUCAGAGAAGAAAUAUCAAGAAUUAGGGGAAAAGAAAUAUAUGUCAUGCAUGAGGAACCUGCUUUAUAUAAAUUUACAAAAUACUUUGAAGCCUCAAAACUGUAAAUGUCAUUAUUAAUAUGGAAGAUUAGAAACGCGCAUUUUGAUAAAUCAUCUACUGGCACAAUAUUUUUUUUUCAAUUCACUGAGCAUAGUUCUACAUAAACAAUGUAACUUAAUAAUCUAGUCUUUGAAAAAGUAUAAGUCUUUCGUACUUGUUUUAUACAAAACGUUUCAUGAUGUUUCAAUGUAAAUGUGCUGUUGCUUUUUUCUGUGGUGUGGAAACUGAGAUUCAGAUAAUGUUUUUCUCAUUGUCAGUAUUUUUUUCCAUGAUUGGGUGGAUUUUCAAAUUACUUGGCAGGGUUAUUAAAUAUUAUAUUUCUAUGUGACACAUGCUAGAUUCAAAUGAUAGUCAAGGUCCCAAUUAAGUAGUCAAAAACUAAACUUUUUCUGUCUUUAACUUUUUAGCUCACCUGAGCACGAAGUGUUCAAAGGUGAGCUUUUGUGAUUCCCCUGUGUCCGUCGUCCGUCUGUCGUCAACAAUUUGACUGUUACCACUCUAGAGGUCACAAUUUUGGGCCAAUCUUAAUGAAACUUGGUCAGAAUUUUACUCUUAAUUAAAUUUUGGACGAGAUUGAUAUUCGGUCAUCAGGGGGUAAAAAACUAGAUCACCAGGUCAAAUCAAAGGAAAAGCUUGUUAACAGUCUAGAGGCCAUAUUUAUGACUAUAUCUUCAUGCAACUUUGUCAGAAUGUUAAUCUUGAUGGUCUUUAGGUUAAUUAUGAAUCUGGGUGAGGUG